rnacentral:lncRNA from 1 species
UGGAUGACAGUAAAUGUAUGAGGGUAGAGAGUAAUGUCUUCUUAUUUAUGGUGGGUAUGAGUAACAUUAAAUUGAAAUUUCAGACCUUUUACUAAUCCCUCCAUCCCAUAGUAUAAGACGUUUUUGCAAACUAAACAUAGCUUGCAAAAACGUCUUAUAUUGUGGGACGGAGGGAGUAGUAACCAGUAGCAAAAUUCAGGUUUUGGGGAGAAGAAAAGUGAACCUAAGGGCUCCAAUACUAUUAAUAGCACAAUACCAUGUUGCAUUCAGUGUUUCAGUCCUGGAGACAUUGCUGAACAGAUGAAGUUGGUGGAAAAUCUAUGGUCACCUAAAAAUUAAGCUGCUUGAAGAUCAAGUUCAGAAGUACUGUAGUCAGUUUUCAAGUUCGGUAGUAUUCAGUUUUGUAAUAGUGAUUUCUGAAUAUUUCAUGCUACUAGUUACUUAGUGCUAAGUGGCAUUCAGUUGUUUUCAAACAAAUUUUAUUUCUACUUGUAAUGAUGGUUUUUGUUACGUGGGGUAUUUCCCUGAACCACUACAUGGAAUCUAUUUAUUAGACCGAUUUGUUCUAUGGUUACCGAAAAUUCCUCGUGCAAGAGUUAAUUAAUGGCCUAUGUUUCUUAC